UACAGAGGGUGCGAGCGUUAAUCGGAAUUACUGGGCGUAAAGCGUGCGUAGACGGUUAUUUAAGUCGGAUGUGAAAGCCCCGGGCUCAACCUGGGAAUUGCAUUCGAGACUGAAUAGCUAGGGUGCGGUAGAGGGAAGCGGAAUUUCCGGUGUAGCGGUGAAAUGCGCAGAUAUCAGGAAGAACACCCGUGGCGAAGGCGGCUCUCUGGGACGGUACUGACGCUGAGACGCGAAAGCGUGGGGAGCGAACAGG
rnacentral:rRNA from 1 species